UCGGAUUGUAGUCUGCAACCCGACUACAUGAAGCUGGAAUCGCUAGUAAUCGCGGAUCAGAAUGCCGCGGUGAAUACGUUCCCGGGUCUUGUACACACCGCCCGUCACACCAUGGGAGUCGGAAAUGCCCGAAGUCUGUGACCCAACCGAAAGGAGGGAGCAGCCGAAGGCAGGUCGGAUGACUGGGGUGAAGUCGUAACAAGGUACC
rnacentral:rRNA from 1 species